rnacentral:misc_RNA from 1 species
GAACAUUUUCAAUGUAUAUAUAUACUAAAGCAAAGUAUAAGUAGAGCCCUCGGGAGUUAUACCUAUAUACAUUACAAACUUAUUGUAGAUGUACUAUAGCUAUAGAUUUACGCACCUAUAUUAUAGUAUAUGAUAUCCAGUGAAUUUUGACAUUUAAACGUUGACAUGUUUUUAGUCUAGUGAGAAUCAAGUUUUACUUUUUAAAUAUAUCGUAUAUAAUAACUGCAGCUUUAUUAUAAUACAAAUAGUUGAUAUGAGCAAUAAAACAAAUUGUUUUAAAGAAAAAAAAUACGCUCAAAAAUAUUCGAAGCAAUGGGAACAAGAAGAAAACUUAAAAGAUUGGAUAGCUCCUGAUCCUACUGGUAACUGUCAAAAAGCUUAUUGUAAAUAUUGCCGUACUAUUUUAGUAGCACAUAAAAAAGAUUUAGGCAAGCAUGCGAUAUCAAUUAAACAUAAAAAUGCUGUUGAUAAAGAUAAACAAGCAAAAUUAUGUCAUCCAAUAAACGUGAUAAAACCUCCUAACAAUAAAGUUAAAGUUGCUGAACUUCAACUAGCCGCAUUUAUAGCAGAACAUACAUCAAUUAUCACAGUUGAUCACUUGACAGAAUUGUUGAAAAAAAUUGAACCGGAUUCGGAUGUUUUUAGUAAGAUGAAAUUGCAUCGAACCAAGUGUGCAGCACUCAUAAAAAUAUUUUAGGCCCGUGUAUGCUCGAAGACUUAGUGAAUGAUAUGAAGGAAUCUCCCUACUGACUUAUUAUUGAUGAAAGCACUGAUAUAUUGACUGAAAAAAUUCUAUGCAUAAUGAAUCACAAUUAGAAGCUGAUGGACUUUCUUUAAAAAAUUUAGUCGGUAUUGGAGUUGAUGGUGCAAAUGCACUAGCGGAUCCGUAUACACUGUGUAUACUAGGUGUAAAUUCGGUGUAAACUUGGUGUGGUGUAUACUGGGGGGAUACAGUAGGUAUAUUUGGUAUUUUUCGGAUAAACACUAAGUAUAGAU